UACGUAGGGUGCAAGCGUUAAUCGGAAUUACUGGGCGUAAAGCGUGCGCAGGCGGUUUAUGUAAGACAGUUGUGAAAUCCCCCGGGCUCAACCUGGGAACUGCAUCUGUGACUGCAUAGCUAGAGUACGGUAGAGGGGGAUGGAAUUCCGCGUGUAGCAGUGAAAUGCGUAGAUAUACGGAGGAACACCGAUGGCGAAGGCAAUCCCCCUGGACCUGUACUGACGCUCAUGCACGAAAGCGUGGGGAGCCAAACAGG
rnacentral:rRNA from 1 species